rnacentral:rRNA from 1 species
AACGAACGUUAGCGGCGCGCCUAACACAUGCAAGUCGAGCGGGAAAGGGCUUCGGCCCCGGUACAGCGGCGCACGGGUGAGUAACACGUAGGUAAUCUACCCCCAGGUGGUGGAUAACCUUCCGAAAGGAGGGCUAAUACAGUAGGAGACCACGACUACGAAAGGGGAUGAGGUCAAAGCCGGCCUCUUCAUGAAAGCUGGCGCCCGGGGAUGAGCCUGCGGCCCAUCAGCUAGUUGGUAGGGUAACGGCCUACCAAGGCGAAGACGGGUAGCUGGUCUGAGAGGAUGAUCAGCCACACUGGAACUGAGACACGGUCCAGACUCCUACGGGAGGCAGCAGUGGGGAAUCUUGCGCAAUGGGCGAAAGCCUGACGCAGCGACGCCGCGUGAGUGAUGAAGGCCCUCGGGUUGUAAAGCUCUGUGGAGGGGGACGAAUAAGGGUUGGCUAAUAUCCAGCUCGAUGACGGUACGCCUUUAGCAAGCACCGGCUAACUCUGUGCCAGCAGCCGCCGUAAGAC